GACGAACGCUGGCGGCGUGCUUAACACAUGCAAGUCGAGCGGUAAGGCCCUUUCGGGGGUACACGAGCGGCGAACGGGUGAGUAACACGUGGGUGACCUGCCCUCCAGCUCUGGGAUAAGCCUGGGAAACCGGGUCUAAUACCGGAUAUGACUCCAUGACGCAUGUUGUGGGGUGGAAAGCCUUGUGCGGCUGAGGAUGGGCCCG
rnacentral:rRNA from 1 species